rnacentral:lncRNA from 10 species
GCUCCACCUGCGGCCCGGUGUGGGGAUCCACCAGGUGAAGCCAGCUGGGCUCCUGAGUCUGGUGGGGAUUUGGAGAGCCUUUAUGUCUAGCUAAGGGGUUAUAAAUGUGUCUAGCUCAAGGUUUGUAAACACACCAAUCAGCACCCUGUGUCUAGCUCAGGGUUUGUGAAUGCACAAAUCGAUACUCUGUAUCUAGCUAAUCUGAUGGGGACUUGGAGAACCUUUGUGUCUAGCUCAGGGAUUGUAAACGCACCAAUCAGCGCCCUGUCAAAACAGACCACUCGGCUCUACUAAUCAGCAGGAUGUGGGUGGAGCCAGAUAAGAGAAUAAAAGCAGGCUGCCCCAGCAGUGGCAACCCGCUGGGAUCCCCUUACACACUGUGGAAGCUUUGUUCUUUCUCUCUUUGCAAUAAAUCUUGCUGCUGCUCACUCUUUGGGUCCACACUGCCUUUAUGAGCUGUAACACUCACCGCGAAGGUCUGCAACUUCACUCCUGACGCCAGCGAGACCACGAACCCACCGGGAGGAGCAACAACUCCAGAUGCGCCGCGUUAAGAGCUGUAACACUCCCCGCGAAGGUCCCCAGCUUCACUCCUGAGCCAGCGAGACCACGAACCCACCAGAAGGAAGAAACUCCGAACACAUCCAAACAUCAGAAGGAACAAACUCUGGACACGCCGCCUUUAAGAACUGUAACACUCACUGCGAGGGUCCGCGGCUUCAUUCUUGAGCCUCUCAGCAGCAGAUUGCUUUCACCUCUGAAGGGACGCAGCAUACAUUUACGUCUGAGGUACCUGAACAACCUUGCUCAACUGCACACAGUCUUUUCAGGCUCCCAUGCUUCCUCAAGCUGAAAGUAUGCAGCAAUCAUUUCUCAUCUCUGAAGCAAGAAAAACUUCUAGUUACCUCUCCAAACCAGGAGCAAAAAUACGUUAUUUUUCAGUCUGCUUUUAUUAAGCAGAGCAAAAACACUUGGUUCUGGACAAUGGAAUGUUGGCAGAAAUGACAUAAGUAAAUUCCAAGCCUACCUUUAAAAACAACUCAUACAAUCUUUUAUGUAUUCCCUUGGCCCCUAUCUGGUAACUAAAUUUCAACCGAAGAUGACCCUGAGAGUCACGUAUUGAAUAAGGAAGAGUGACACAGUUGAAGAUAGAAGGUUCCUGAUUGAUUACAUGAAGCAGAGUCCUCUCAGAAAUUUGCACUGGACAAUGAUAUGUUUGAUAAAUAAACUUUCAUUUUUUAGACCAUUAAAAUUUUUCUUUGGUAUAGCACUUAAUGUUGUUCACCCUGAAAAUAUUAGUGUCAAAUCAGACAAAAUUAUACCAGAAAAA